UACAUGAACUGUAAUUCCACAAACAUGGUCAAUAGGGUAGUCGAAAAGAAUCGUGAUCUGUUUGAAAUAAAGAAAUAUUAUAGAGAUAACAUUUCGAUGUUGAUAGACUCAUUUAAAAGCGAAGACGAUGGUUCAAUAGAGACAUGUAAAGUUGAAGAACCAGCGGAGAAAGAAUGGGCCAUCAGCAUUUUAUAUCCGUUUGAAGUAUGCGAAACGUCCAUCCUUGUUGAUAAUAAAUCAUUAAGCGAGACAUGUCAAUACAGGCAUGGUAACCCGAACAUCACAGUGAAAGUAGAAACAGUUUCAACAUGUCCAUUAAUAACAACAACGUCCAGAUCGGAAAUUAAUAUAACUCUGUGUGAGUUUGUCAGUCAAAAUGAUUUAGGUGCACGGAAAUUUGCUGAUUAUGCGACUGGUCUUUUCAAAGUGGAAAUCCUUUACCCUGCCACAAUACUUCAAUACGACAUUACAAUAGAGGAAAUACGUUCACAUGCGUGGAAUCUGACGUCAGAUGGUUUACGCUACAUACGAUUCAAUUGUCAUGGAAACGGAAACCCACCUCCAAUAAUGACGUUAAUUAAAGAAGAGACAGUUCUAUUGAGCCAAAACACUCAUUUACAGCAUAAAAUUCAUUUAUCUUAUAAACAAGAGUCGAACAUAUAUACGUGCAUAGCAUGGA